rnacentral:misc_RNA from 1 species
UUAAAGAAUCUCUUACCAUUGCACUUGAGAAGAUUCCACCAUGUGUAGACCCAGUUGUUAAACUUCUUGAGCACUUGCUUCACAAGAAUGUCUUGACUGAAAAGGAUAUAGGUACCGGGUGCCUUCUAUAUGGGUCGAUGAUGGAUGAUAUCGGCAUUGAUCUACCAAAAGCACCAAGCAAUUUCGGUGAGAUUCUCGGGAAGUUAAUUUUGAUCAGAGGUCUGGAUUUCGCUGUUGUGAAGGAGAUUCUUAAGAAGGUGGAAGAUAACUACUUGCAAAAAUCCAUUUUUGGUGGUGCUAUGAAGAUCCUCAACUCUAGCCCUUCUGGAGAAGGAAUUCUGGCAACUCAAAGCGUUGAGAUCCAGGCAUGUGAGACUUUACUUGCGUGAAUUGAGUCAUGUGGGAUUUGAUUUCCCAUUACGUUUUUGAUCAAAAAAUUUUCAUUUCAUGUUUUACGUUCCGAUCGCCAAAAGACAAAUAACUGAUCAUUUAUAUUGAG